rnacentral:rRNA from 1 species
CCUACGGGAGGCAGCAGUAAGGAAUAUUGGUCAAUGGGCGCAAGCCUGAACCAGCCAUGCCGCGUGCAGGAAGACGGCCCUAUGGGUUGUAAACUGCUUUUGUACCGGAAUAAACCCUUUUACGUGUAGAAGGUUGAAUGUACGGUAAGAAUAAGGAUCGGCUAACUCCGUGCCAGCAGCCGCGGUAAUACGGAGGAUCCGAGCGUUAUCCGGAUUUAUUGGGUUUAAAGGGUGCGUAGGCGGCCUAUUAAGUCAGGGGUGAAAGACGGUAGCUUAACUAUCGCAGUGCCUUUGAUACUGAUGGGCUUGAAUGUACUUGAGGUAGGCGGAAUGUGACAAGUAGCGGUGAAAUGCAUAGAUAUGUCACAGAACACCAAUUGCGAAGGCAGCUUACUAAAGUAUGAUUGACGCUGAGGCACGAAAGCGUGGGGAUCAAACAGGAUUAGAUACCCUGGUAGUCCACGCCCUAAACGAUGAAUACUCGAUGUUGGCGAUAUACGGCCAGCGUCUAAGCGAAAGCGUUAAGUAUUCCACCUGGGGAGUACGCCCGCAAGGGUGAAACUCAAAGGAAUUGACGGCUGAGACGNGCGAGACGACGACGAGGGAGAGG